CCUACGGGAGGCAGCAGUGAGGAAUAUUGGUCAAUGGACGAGAGUCUGAACCAGCCAAGUAGCGUGAAGGAUGACUGCCCUAUGGGUUGUAAACUUCUUUUAUAAAGGAAUAAAACGAGGCACGUGUGCCUUUUUGCAUGUACUUUAUGAAUAAGGAUCGGCUAACUCCGUGCCAGCAGCCGCGGUAAUACGGAGGAUCCGAGCGUUAUCCGGAUUUAUUGGGUUUAAAGGGAGCGUAGAUGGGUUGUUAAGUCAGUUGUGAAAGUUUGCGGCUCAACCGUAAAAUUGCAAUUGAUACUGGCAGUCUUGAGUACAGUUGAGGUAAGCGGAAUUCGUGGUGUAGCGGUGAAAUGCUUAGAUAUAACGAAGAACCCCGAUUGCGAAGGCAGCUUACUAAACUGUGACUGACACUGAUGCUCGAAAGUGUGGGGAUCAAACAGGAUUAGAUACCCGGGUAGUC
rnacentral:rRNA from 1 species